GGGGCCGUGGGGUAGCCUGGUCUAUCCUUCACGGCUGGGGGCCGUGAGACCCCGGUUCAAAUCCGGGCGGCCCCACCA
rnacentral:tRNA from 1 species